AAUAAUAGAAAAUAGAUAUCAUCAGCAUCUUGCUUGUGCAAGAAAAAAAAAAAAGGAUUGCGAAAAUCUGACACCAAAUUAUUACUGGAUUAAAAUUCUCAUGAUGAAAUUAACCUUAGGUUAAUUAAAUGAAGGCAAUUCAAGUAUACUGUCAAAGAUUGAGAGUUAAGAGUUUGUUUAUUGAAACAUGAAGUUAGAGACAUUUAGUUAUGUUUUAUAAUUACUUCGACAUAAGAAAGGAAAAACAAGAUUUGCGAGGUAAAUUUUCUGUUAUGUUAUGUAUUGCUUGCCAGCUGGGAAUCUUUAAUGUGAGACAAAGAAAUCAAAAAGGAGCCUCUAAAUUUCAACAAAGUGACCAAACAUGACCCACAAAGAAGAGCCGAUUAAGAGUAUUAAGUUCAUUGUUUCUCAUAUCCAACCCCACCACCAUUCCUCAUUCUAAAGCUGGCAUUAUUACGCCAUGCAUUUUCUAUAUUGAAAGUGAUUGAAUUGGAAUCCAAUGGAUUAUUAAAAAUUAAAAAAAAUGAACAACAUUAUUUGAUAAGAAAUAAAAAAAAAGGUAUAAUCCAAAAAAAAAAAAAAGAAACAAAAAAGAAGAUAAAAAGGCAUAGGAAAGCUAAAACUUUCCCUACUUUACAAGGUAGACUUGAGAGUUGAGAGUAUAGAGAGAGAGAGAGAGAGAGAGAGCAGGGUUAAGUAAUGAAGUUCUUGUUUCAGUGUCCUUGUUGCUCAUGUUUUUGCUUUGUGAAGCCCAAGAAGGGAAAACCAAAGCCGAAGGAAGCUAAAGUAGAGGACUCCAAGGAAGAGAAAAAAGAGUGAUAAAAAAUUGCAAAUGCUGCAUUGCUGAUGCAAAAUGGGUAUUUGGGUGCUCAAGUAAUUGUUUGUAUGUACAAUUUUCUUUCUAUUUCAUGUGAAAUGCUUCCAUCUUUAAUUGCUUUCCAUGGAAAAUAAGGUGUCACAUUACUUUUAUUUUACAAAAUCUCAUAAAAUGUAUGAGAUAUCAAGCUCAUAUCUAGUUUCUGCUUAUUUUGCUUCAAAGCUUGCAUAUAGUCAUUUUGUCUCUUGCCCCUAUAGUGGAAAAUGUGAAUGAGCCUAUCUUUAGUGAGGAUUGAAGCAUUCUACAACAUUUGGCUUUGCCCUCCUUUUUUUUUUUUUUUUUUGGUACAGAAGGGGAUGGCUUUGCACUUGUUUAUUAAUUGAUUUGGUUUAUUUUGGGAUUUGAACUCAUAAAUUCAUAGCUUUUUUACAAUUUUAAUAAUUAAAACUUAAAGAUCCAAUCAUCUUAUUUUAUGUGAUUUUAACAUUGGUUUUAUCAAUUAUUUCUUACAAAUUUUCUAAUUCUAUUAGCUGCAAAAACCUACUAAAAUGUUAGUAACUCUAAUUGAUUGCUGAUGAAGACCAGUGCUUGUUCAAGCACAAAAUGGAAAGGCAUCAAUUCUGUUUAAUUUAGAUCUGCUAAUUCUGAUGAAAUAUGCCAAUUAGGUGUGGUAGUGGGAGGUCUCGAGUUCGAGUUCUCUCGACCACAAGUGUUUUCUCUAACUUGGUGAGUGUUAU
rnacentral:lncRNA from 1 species